UGUUUAUGUCUGAUGUUUGGUUAUGAGUUGAUCAAAGAAUAUUUCAUCUGCUACAUGGGAAGACAUUGAAGAUUGCUAGAUAUUGGAAUGCUUGCUUGGAUAUUACGGAUAUCUUUAUUUGAUGUCUUGAUCUUCACAUAAUGCUUGGAUAUUGCUCAUUGGUUAUUGCCUAUUCUUGUCCAAGUCCAAAGGGAAAUGGGUUUCUAUAUGACAUUCUUGUUUGUUGGAUUGAAU
rnacentral:lncRNA from 1 species